rnacentral:lncRNA from 1 species
AGUUUUCAGGUUUUAAAGAUAUGUUUUGAGUAAGGAUGCGGUGACUUGGGAGAACUUUGCGAAACAUCAGUAUCUGUUUUAGCACCAUAAGCUUCGUAAAUAUAGGAAUCAUUCUCGAAACCCCAUAUACCAUGGCCUUAAUCAUCAUUUCGUAUAUGUCCUCAGUAGUUUAUCUCAGCAGUCAGCUCCGGCCUACGCAUCCUCUACGUAGGGGACCGAUGCAAAUAAGUGAAUGAUCCAGAAAAACAAAAAAAUAAAAGAAAGCAAAAAGGCAACUCCGGUAUAGGUGACCCUCACAA